CGGAGGGGUUUUCAGAGGAUAAACCCCGCGAGGCCCAUAAUCCCCGCAAAUACCCGUUGGCCCAUUGGCCCAUUUGGUAGGCGCGGUUUGGACAGCCCAAUCCCUCAAAAAAAACCUAUUCCCACGCGCUUCAGAAUCAUCGAGGCCCCCCUCGAGGAUUUGGAGGGUGCUUGGAUACAAGGGACUAUUUUUAGUCUGACUAAAAAUAGUCUCUUUUAGAGGCUAAAGUUCCAAGCACCCCUGACUAAAGAGAGGUUAGGACUAGUCUUGAGGCUAAAAUCUUUUAGUCAUGGGAAACCUACUAAAAUAUGUAUUAGCUCUCUCUCUCCUCAUUUAUUCCUCUCCUUAGUUCUGGAUUGGAGGGUUUGGAGGAUAAUAAAUGCUCAAUAACUAGAUUUUAGUCUCUUUAGUACUUGAUCCAAGCAUGGGUGAGACUAGCAAGUUUUAGUCCCACUACUUUUAGUCAUGGGACUAAAAUGUAUCCAAGCAUGCUCUUGGCUGCUCAACUCGAGACGCCGCUGCCGACGCUGCGCCGCCUCCUCCCCAAGACGCCGCGCCACCCGACACCUCGACGCUGAUGAUCUCCUCCGGCAUACUGGACUUCUCGUCGGUGGGUUAUUAUGAGUAUUUGCUGCUUUCCAGGCUGGAGUUAGAUGCUUUCCGAGGGCACCAAGGCCGUCACACCUCCGCCUAAUUCGGCUGUCCCUGUGUCUUCUUUGGUGGAUGAGAUCAAUGGCACUCUGUAGUUAGCUGUUUGUGCUCUGUCCUCUUGUAACUUGUGUGGGAUCACACUGAUUCAUGAUCUAGAGAAAUAACAACAGCGCUUAUUUCAGUUCUUGCCAUGAUCAAGUUUGUGCUACAUCGUUUAGGUUGGAUCUGUUGUGCAAGCUUGUGUUUCUCUGUAAAUCACUGCAUAUGAUGGCUAUAAACUUGCUGAGAUGUUUCUGAUAA